UCGGCAACGCGUAUGUAAUAUCUCUGGCGUUGCAGGCGUCCACACGCUAUGGAGACUGCUUACCAUCAGGCGGGCCGUAUGCUUGUUUGCCACCGACGUAGUAUUAAAAA